GGCGAUCAGAUACCGCCCUAGUUCUGACCGUAAACGAUGCCAACUAGCGAUCCGCCAGUCGACUCAUCGCUCUGGUGGGGAGCUUCCCGGAAACGAAAGUCUUCCGGUUCCGGGGGAAGUAUGGUUGCAAAGCUGAAACUUAAAGGAAUUGACGGAAGGGCACCACCAGGAGUGGAGCCUGCGGCUUAAUUUGACUCAACACGGGGAAACUCACCCGGCCCGGACACCGUAAGGAUUGACAGAUUGAUAGCUUUUUCAUGAUUCGGUGGAUGGUGGUGCAUGGCCGUUCUUAGUUCGUGGAGCGAUUUGUCUGGUUUAUUCCGAUAACGAGCGAAACUCUGGCCUACUAAAUAGUUGACGCAUUGCCACUGUGCGCACAACUUCUUAGAGGGAUUUUCGGUGUUUUCAACCGCACGAAAUUGAGCAAUAACAGGUCUGUGAUGCCCUUAGAUGUCCGGGGCUGCACGCGCGCUACACUGGCAAACGCAACGUGCCUGUCCUGCCCCGAAAGGAGCGGGUAAACCCCUGAAAUUUUGCCGUGAUUGGGAUCGGACAUUGCAACUAUUGUCCGUGAACGAGGAAUUCCUUGUAGGGGCGAGUCAUCAACUCGUCCCGAAUACGUCCCUGCCCUUGUA
rnacentral:rRNA from 1 species